rnacentral:rRNA from 1 species
CCUACGGGCGGCUGCAGUGGGGAAUAUUGGACAAUGGGGGCAACCCUGAUCCAGCCAUGCCGCGUGUGUGAAGAAGGCCCUCGGGUUGUAAAGCACUUUCAGUGAGGAAGAACGCCUGGUGGUUAAUACCCAUCAGGAAAGACAUCACUCACAGAAGAAGCACCGGCUAACUCCGUGCCAGCAGCCGCGGUAAUACGGAGGGUGCGAGCGUUAAUCGGAAUUACUGGGCGUAAAGCGCGCGUAGGUGGCUUGAUAAGCCGGUUGUGAAAGCCCCGGGCUCAACCUGGGAACGGCAUCCGGAACUGUCAAGCUAGAGUGCAGGAGAGGAAGGUAGAAUUCCCGGUGUAGCGGUGAAAUGCGUAGAGAUCGGGAGGAAUACCAGUGGCGAAGGCGGCCUUCUGGACUGACACUGACACUGAGGUGCGAAAGCGUGGGUAGCAAACAGGAUUAGAUACCGUGUAGUC